rnacentral:rRNA from 1 species
GAUGAACGCUGGCGGCGUGCCUAAUACAUGCAAGUUGAGCGGUAAGGCCUCUUCGGAGGUACACGAGCGGCGGACGGCUGAGUAACACGUAGGAACGUACCCCAAAGUGAGGAAUAAGCACCAGAAAUGGUGUCUAAUACCGCACGUGCUCUCAGGAGUAAAGCUUCGGCGCUUUGGGAACGGCCUGCGCAUGAUUAGCUUGUUGGUGAGGUAAAAGCUCACCAAGGCGACGAUCAUUAGCUGGUCUGAGAGGAUGAUCAGCCAGACUGGGACUGAGACACGGCCCAGACUCCUACGGGAGGCAGCAGUAGGGAAUUUUCCACAAUGGGCGAAAGCCUGAUGGAGCAACGCCGCGUGCAGGAUGAAUGCCUUCGGGUUGUAAACUGCUUUUAUAUGUGACGAUUAUGACGGUAGCAUAUGAAUAAGGAUCGGCUAACUCCGUGCCAGCCGCCGCAGUAA